CUUAGCCGUAGAGUUUCCUCUGUGUAAACCUUCCCAUAAACCCUAUUCCCCGGAAACCUCCCAGAUUUUCCCGAGAAAGUGAAUCGAAAAAUCCGGGACAUGUGCUUUCGGACAUCUCCGGAAUUCGAUUCCGUUACCAAAUUGAACUCCCGAUUCCUACCUGACCAAUUGACUCUUUUUGAUCGGCGGGGUUACAAAUCGCGCCGACAACUCGUGCCCGCAGCAAGACGGCAGUUUUUUCUAGCCGGAUUCGGCUUUUCCGUCAUGAAUCCCUUCCUUGGUAUAUCUCCGGAAUUCGAUAUCGUCGCCUAAUGGAACUCCAAUUUCCUGCCUCAGCAAUGGAGUUACAAAUUGCGCCGGCAACUCGUAGCGGCAGCAAGACGACAGAUUUUUGUAGCUGGAUCCUGCUUUUCUGUCUGCAAUUUACCUCCAAAACGCCAGCCAACUUCCUCCUCGUCUAUGAUCUAAACCUUGUAAGAUAUAAAAACUCACGCAAUUCUCCCUUAUCAGGUUUGUGAACCCCAAUUCACCCAUCCUAAUUCCCAGAAAUUGGCGAUUACCUUCCCCUCAACUUCAUUCUCAUUUGCUCGAUUCAAUUCCAAAAAUCAACAAUUACAACAUCAGGAGAUUCCAUUCUCACUCAAUCCCAACUUCAACCAUCCCUUCUCUCCUCUCUGCGUCGUGCGUGACCCUCUUCAAAAUCGAAAUCUAAAAACCCUUCUUUAGCAAGCCCUGUGCGACCAGUGGGCAACUGGCGGUCCUCUCUGCGAGGGGCGACUCUGUGCGACCAACAAAGUUCAAAUUAUCUAUCAAAUCCCUCCGUCCUUAGCUGAUUGGUCUUGAGCUUGCUUGGCUCGUAGAAAACAUGGUGUUGAAAUGGGUGUAUAUACAUGUAAAUGGAGGAAGACAAAAUUAGAUGGUGAUGUUGGGUUUUGAACUUUUCAUUAAAGUAAAUGUAUCUGGGCUUUUGUUGGUUGCUUUAAUUUGAAAUUUAUGGCAUGAAGAGUUCAACUUUAGCAAAAGAAGAAAGUAGAAGAGUUUGCUUUUUGUUACUUUGUAUUUUUUUUUUUGAAUACAAAGUCUUACAGAUGUACUUAUGUGAAGAGGUUGAUAUGCCUGACAUGAGUGAGAUAAUUACUGCUUGUAGAAGUAAAUGGACAAGAUUGUUGGAUUACUGAUAGGCCUCCGGUGCAGCAGACCUAUCAAAGGCACUUCAGGAAUUCAGGGCAGAAUGGUAACACAGCUGGGUUUGCAUAACAGCCAGCAUGUGCACCAAGGGUAGAAUCAUAACUUGGCUGACAAACCAGCAUGUGCAUAACCAGAUGUGGUUAUGGAGGGAGAAUAACAACCUAUAAAUAGGGAAUAGAAGAGAGAGAAAAGUGUGAAGAAAUUGAGUAGAUUCUACAGGAGAGUUUUGGGCCUCUCGAAUGCCCAUUCUUUUCCUUUGUUUACAUUUUUCCUUGUAAUCUGGAGUUGAAAUACCAGCAGUGAAUUCCUUUACUUAAUCAGAAUCUCAUCAGUUUUCUUGAGAUCCCACCAAUUACCUUGUUUCCCUUUUUCUCCCAACACAUUAAUGAAUCAUUUUCCUUUUUAACCUACAACACAAUAUCACGUUGCCCACUCUAGAGGCUCCAGGUGGUACCAUGGACAUAAGUGAGUCAAUCUUUCUGGCCUUAAAGCAAGAUUGUGUCCCUCUUUCUUUUGAAUCCAAACUUUGAAUAUUGGAGCAGGUACUCUUUCCAAUGGGAAAACAGGCAUCUUGGUAGGAAAUCUUAGCAUAGAUACUCGCCCCCUACCUAUAUAUAAAAUCAUAACCCGUGCUCCAAGGAGGUUUGGUCAAUCUCCAACCCUAGCUGGCUUACUUCAUCUCAAUCUCCACUAUUUUUUCACUCACUCUUUACUUUAUCAACUUCUUGCUUUUAGACAAUCUAUUGACUAAGUAUUAGAGGCCUUUCUAGCAAAGGCCUUAGGCAAUCCUCACUGUGAUUUUCUUACGAUUCACUCACAGGAGAAGGCUAAGCAAGUAGCUGAACCUGUUUCAGGCCAGAGAUUAGAGCUUGAUCUGACCCUAUUCUUGAGGGCGCUAAUCCUUGCAUCAUGAAGUCAUGUCUAUAUGGGAAACUAAGGAAGAGUUAGACCAGUUGUUGGUUUUUAGGACCACAUUUGAAAAACUACAAGCCACAUCACUCUCGCUGCCCUUCUCUUUCAUUCAUCCCCUAGUCUCACUAAGACCACUGUCAAGACCAGAAGGAUCCCCAAGGAUAUAGGAGUAAUAAUGUAUUAUAUGUGUUGAAGUAGUAGGUUAUACAUUGUUGUUAUACUUUGCUGUUGUAAUGAUUGUACUUUGCUGUUGUAGCCUAUAAAUAGGUUAGAUUAGGCAGAGAUUUAUACAGAUGAAUGAGAAUUGAUUUCUAGAUUUCUCUCAAGUCUGAACUCUCUUGUUUCUCUCUAAUUAUCUCUCUUUUGUUCUGUUCUGACUGCAUUUCCUCCUCCAUUCUGUCUGUUAUCUCCCUCUUUCAGUCUAAGCCUCCCUCCAAUUCUAUUUGAAUUUUGAUCUGCUUUAUCCUCCCCGAUUUCCUUCCAAUUUCCUAUUCCAACCCUAUGCAAACCCUAGGAUCCUAAUAACCACUCAAAAUAAUGCUCAACAAAUUAACGAGACUACAUGCAAAAGAGAAAAAGGGAAAUGGUUCAUUAAUGUACUGGGUGAGGAUAUUACCUGUUAACAUUAUUCUAGCAGUCAUUCUGUUUUAACCACUUAAAAAAGGUCUACUUUACUUUUUUUGGGGGGUAAAUUGCCCAAAAAAAUUGAAAUUGAUCAUGUUUCCAAUUUUGGACUGAGCAGAGUAAGGAUGCUAGUAUUCAUAAAAUUAAAAGUUUAGUCCAAAAUUGGAAACAUGGUAAAAGUUCUUUUUUUUUUUUUUAACAAUUUACCCUUUUUUGUUGAACCAAAGAGGAAGAAGGAAACAAUAGGUGUUAUCCCAGAUCAUUAAUAGGAUGAGGGAUGAGAUAUUGUAGGUUAUGAGUGAGUGUGCUGCUCCAUUGGAAGAUCUGGGGGAGAAGUGCAACAACCAGUUUUGGUGCUUGGCCAGAAGAAGCUGAAUUCAGAGAGAAAGGCUUGAACCUCUAAUGGAGUAUUGUGGUUGCAUGUUACUUUGAGUUGAUAGUCUGACUCCAGCAGAACUGAUUCCCAACCUUGGUUUUGGACCCAGAUCGGGCAAUAUGAGCUUUAGCAUCAAUUGGAGAAGAGGUUGUGCCUCUGAAGAAUAUCGAACCAAUUGCAUGCCCACUAUAUGAUGCCACCAUUCAUGCAAGAGGGAGAGGAUGCAUCAAAGUUAAUUUUGAUGUGGCUAAUCUUAGGCUUUCGUUAAGGGGGAAGCCAAAGAAUAGGUUGCUAUUGCUUGUGACUUCAGAUCCUGUUGCUCUUGCUAACUCCAAGAAUUUGAGAAUUGCUGCUUGUCUUGGGGAAUGUUGUCAGUGUUGGGAGUGGACUAGGCAUGAUGGCCUCAUUCCUAUGACCCCAGAUGGUUUCCAAUCCUCCAUCUUCUCUGGCUAAACCCUUACAUUGAAUUUUUUUUUGCUCUCUCUCUUCUGCUACAUUCCCCUACAUGAUAUUCUUUUCUGUGUAACUCUCUUUUUAUUUAGAUAUAGAUUAUUUUAUAGUGUUGAAUUGUACUAGUAAGGGCAUUAUUAUAAUUAGGGUACUUAGUAUACUCUUGUAUAUAUACCUUGUCCAUACAUUCUGGAGAAUAUAUAUAGAUUAUUUUAUUCCUAUACAUGGUAUUAGAGCCAAAACCUAACCCUAACCCUAACUAGUAUUGAUGUUUCCACCAUUGUCGACUUCGUUGGCAUUGCUCAUUGACUGUUGUCGUCUUCACCGGGCUUCUUUCCUCAUUGGCCCUGCUUGCCACGACCCCUAGUGCUUUGCGUCUGUAGAUUGCUUUGCUGCUUGCCGUGCCUUCCAUUGCUCCUUGUCUGCUUUUAUUUGUCUGCAGACUUGGUUGCUAGCAAGUUUGCAAACCCUUUGAUUUCUAGGUGAUUUGUAGACUUGAUUUUUGGCUCUCUUGUUGAUUAUUGAAUUAGGGUUUGUAAUCAUUGUCAUGUCUUCAUCAGCUCUAGAAUCUUCACCCACAACUAUCUCAUCAACUUCCACUAUUACCAUUCUCUAAUUCUCAGGCACGCCAGUUAUUACUAUGGAAAAAUUGAAUGGGAACAAUUGUCUACAGCAGUGGAAAUCUGGCUUCUUUAGGCAUGGACUUGAAGAUCAUUUAACACAUGCCAUCUCAACCAGUCUUGAGAACAAUCCGCCAAUGGAAGGAUUAAGGAGUGAGCAAAGAUUCUACUAAUUUUGAUUUCGGCUGCAACGGAUUUCUGACAGUCUGGUUGCGGUAUAGGCUGGUCUCUUGCGGUGGUCCUCCAUUGAUCCGAGCUUCUAUUAUAUUUCUUUCCCACCAAUAAUGUCUCUUUUAUGCCUUGAGAAUUUGCGCCUUCAAAACUUAGAUUUAUGGGGAUCUGUAACUCUCACCGAAGUGUUUGCAACAUAGACAAAGAACUGCUUGGGCUGACCUCGGAAAUGCCCUCUGAUGGGGGAAGUAUGUAUUGUAACAGUAGAGAUAGAUGUGUGUGUGUGUGAGAGAGAGAGAGAGGGAGAGAGUAACGAUGCUACGUAGAGAGCGAUGUAAAGAUAUAUGCCCCUUGUGUUUGGGGGUGUCCCCGUUUUAUAGAGGGGAUGCCUUUAGGGGGACCUAUAGUUGGGUGCAACAUACAGAGAGGCCACAUUAACCAUAUCAAUCAUGUUGACUUAUUAUUAAUCUUCUUCUAUUCAAUCAGUGUAAUUAAAAAUUUAGGCCUAUUCUCUU